ACCUACAAACAAGCAAAAUAAGUUGUAAAAUAGGCUAUAAAAGUCUUUGGAAAGUAUUGUAAUGGGGGGGUUUUUUUUUUAGAAAAAAGAGGGAGAUAGAUACAAAAAUCAAACAUAUACAGAAAUCAAUAACAACAAUAUUGGUUAAAGUGAUUGCAUAACAUUUUAAUCAUAAAAGGAGGUGUCGAUAUACGGUUCGGUUACUAAUAGAAAGUUUUGCCAUGAAGAACGAAUUCAUUGAUAAAGUGAAAGACAAGC